ensembl:lncRNA novel transcript, antisense to LRRC34
CUCUAUGUUUUAUUACUCUUUUUAGUGGUGGAAUUUUUGUUAGUCCUUUUGCAAAUUUUGAGAAUUUUAACAUCUACUUUUUCCCCCUCGUUCUUUCCAAAUGAAAACUGUUACCAUUAUUUCUGUUUUGAAAGUAGUAUCAAAGGCUGUCUGUAUUUAUGUGAGCAACAUGCCAAAUAUUUUGAUAGCUUGUACUCUAUCUCUCCCAUUCCAUAUUUUGGUAUAAUUAUUAGGGAGCAGAUCAGAAAUUUUGCUACAUCUGAUCAAUAAUUAUGAUUUUUCUUAACCUUAGAGGAAUUAGAACUGUGUCAUUCAGUGAUGUGUAAUACUAAUACAUAGUUUUAAUAUCUUUGGUUAUUUGAACCACCAAACUCUCUAGUAGUUAAUUUUAAGACUUAUGUUAAUUAUCAAAACUGCAGUGUCUCACUGUGUAACCAUUUCUGAGGCACCUGUAAAUAAUAUCUGAUGUUACAGAGAUGAUCCCAGAAAAAGCCUUCAGUGAAGGAAAAAACUUAAAACUUACUAUACACGUAGCCUCAUCAAAUUUGUUUCCCCAAAUGUAGAUAUGAGAGAAAGUGAGAUUUGUUUUCAUUGAUUGUGAAAGUGCAACAAGUCCUUCUCCCUCUAUGUUGUUGCUGACUACUGACAACCUGAAACCAAUAAUUCCACAAGGAAAGAAUACAAAAAUUAGCAACAUUUAUUACAAACACUUUCUUGUGUAGUCUUAGCAUUAUUCUUCAGUAUGUUGUAAUGUAGUGGUAAAAAUACUGACCAUUUAAUUCCUAAAAUCCAAGAAACUUAGUUUUCUAAUUAGAUCCUUAAGGUACUUAGUAGAGCUAACUACAUUUUGAAAGUCUUCUGUUUUAUAUUAUUCAGUAAAUGUUUGGGUGGAUAGCAGAUAUAUUUUUCUGGAUAAAUGCAUCCAAGUAUUUUAUUCUUUAGUUCAUUCUUACUUUUAAAAGUCUUGAUCAUAUUGAAUGCUUCUGAGUUUUCUAUUAGAAUUCAGGAUAAGUAAUAUAAGCAAUGCAAAUUUUCUCAUUAAUUUGAAGGAAUCGUUAAUAGAAUCAGUCUAAUUGUAAAAGACAUUACAUUUGAAAAAUAGAAAUGUAAAUGUUUACUGUAACUUAAUACUAUGUCAGUUUAGAAGCUGAGUUUUCAUAUUUCAUUAUAAUCUUAAGAGUUAAGGGGAUUGAGGUUAGUAUUUAAAAAUUUGCUUUUCUGUUAUUUUGAUUAAAUAUAAAACCAUACUAAC